GGCGCUUUAUACCCACCUAGAGGAGCCUGUUCUAGAACCGAUGACCCCCGUUCAACCUCACCUUCUCUUGCCCCCCCCGCCUAUAUACCGCCGUCGUCAGCCCACCCUGUGAAGGCCCAUGUAGUGAGCAAAACUGGCAAAGCCCAAAACGUCAGGCCGAGGUGUAGCGUAUGAGAAGGGAAGAAAUGGGCUACAAUUGCUUUAACAGCUAAUACGAACUGCAACGCUGAAAAUGCACACACGAAGGAGGAUUUAGAAGUAAGGGGCAAGUAGAGUGUCCCCCUGAAAUGGCCCUGAAGCGUGCACACACCGCCCGUCACUCUCCCCGAGUAACAAAGAAUUAAUAACAUAUAAAACUUUACCCAACAAAGGGGAGGCAAGUCGUAACAUGGUAAGUGUACCGGAAGGUGCACUUGGAAGAAAC
rnacentral:rRNA from 1 species